CCUACGGGAGGCAGCAGUAGGGAAUAUUGCUCAAUGGGGGAAACCCUGAAGCAGCAACGACGCGUGGAGGAUGAAGGUUUUCGGAUUGUAAACUCCUUUUGUUAGAGAAGAUAAUGACGGUAUCUAACGAAUAAGCCCCGGCUAACCCCGUGCCAGCAGCCGCGGUAAUACGGAGGGUGCAAGCGUUACUCGGAAUCACUGGGCGUAAAGAGCGCGUAGGCGGGAUAGCAAGUCAGAUGUGAAAUCCUAGGGCUUAACCAUAGAACUGCAUUUGAAACUGUUAUUCUAGAGUAUGGGAGAGGUAGGUGGAAUUCUUGGUGUAGGGGUAAAAUCCGUAGAGAUCAAGAGGAAUACUCAUUGCGAAGGCGACCUGCUAGAACAUAACUGACGCUGAUGCGCGAAAGCGUGGGGAGCAAACAGGAUUAGAUACCCCUGUAGUC
rnacentral:rRNA from 1 species